AUCUCAAAAGAAGACAGAAACUUAGGCGAACUGGGCCGUACUCAAGGCCCCUCUCAGGAUUGUCUUCUUCCUCCAAAAAUCUUUCUCCUUAAGAUUCGCCUCCGAGUCCUCUUUCUCGGAUUCCUCCUUCUCAGCUCUUCAGCGGGAUCCUGAAAUGGUUUUCCCCAAACUGGGAUGAGACUACGUCUCAGCGAGUUCUACCCCACUAAGCCCAAUUAGUAAACUAUUAUACUAUAGGCUGCCUAUACACGCAUAGGGCAGAAGACGUACCUUGGCCUCAUGUCCUACCUGCAUGUUAGCACAGGUCAAAUAGACACCUAAGCAAUCACAUCACAGAUCAAAGCAUCGAUCAAAUCGACCUAAUCGAUUACCAGCCAACAAGACCACUCACGGUCAUUUCCAUUCAGUCAAUCAAUUCACGACAUCACAUCAAAGCAAUGAUCAAUCAACAUAGUCGAUUACAUGUCAAUUCGACCAUUCCCCAGUCGUUUCCCUUAUUCAGGUUCAAAUCGUACUCACGACUUCACAAGCAUAGACUACCAAAUUUCUUGGCAACAAAUUACAGUCCCGAAGGACACGACCUAUCUUUAGGUAGCAAAUUACGGCCCAAUGGGCGCGACCUUUAAUAGGUGGCUAAUUACGGCCUUAUCAGGCGCGACCCGUAUCGGGUGGCAAAUUACGGCCUUAACAGGCGCGACCUUUAAUAGGUGGCUGAUUACGGCCUUAUCAGGCGCGACCCGUAUCGGGUGGCAAAUUACGGCCUUAACAGGCGCGACCUUUAAUAGGUGGCUGAUUACGGCUUUAUCAGGCGCGACCCGUAUCGGGUGGCAAAUUACGGCCUUAACAGGCGCGACUGACUCCAAAUUCGGUGGCAAAUCUCAGCCCAACUGGCAUAGCCAUACUUCGGCGGCUUCCGAGGUUCAACUCACAACCUCUCAUAGUCAAAUUCUAAUUGAAUACCGACAUUGAUCAAUCUUGGGAUGAAUCCCCACAUACUCAUCAACUCACUCAAUUUUCACACGAUAUUAACAUACCUGAUGGAUCUUAGCCAAGAGUAUAUUCAAAUCACUCUCAUAAUUCUACUCACUUUACCACUCAACAAAGCAUUGCAAACGCUAAAUAAACAUACUCGGCCAUUUACCAAUCAACAAUUCAAUCUCAAUCAAUUCCAAUCAAUUUAGGGUAAAUCCCCAAAAUAUCACAAUUUAUUUAAUUCCAUGCAACGUGGAGCUCAAAUAAAUAAACGGACUGCGCCACGACGAUCAGCACGAGAUUGCGGUCGUCGGCCAUCAAAAUCUUAAUUUCCAAAAAAAUAAAUAAUUUAAUUAAUUUUUUUAAAUAUUAAAAAUUCCGUUUAGCUCAAAAUAAGGUCCAAUUAAAUAAUUGGACUUCACCACGGUCAUCAGCAUAAUUUUCCGGUCACGGGCCAUCCCAGUUGAAUUUUCAGAAAAUAAAUAAUUAUUUAAUUAAUUUCGAAAAUUAAUUAAUAUCAAAAAUUCAAUUUAGCUUAAAAUAAAGCCUGAUUAAUUAAACUGACUUCACCAUGGUCAUCGGCAUAAUUUUCCGGUUCCAGACCAUCUCAGUCAAAUUUUCGGAAAAUAAAUAAUUAUUUAAUUUAAUUCCGAAAAUUAAUAUUUAAAUACUAAAAAUUCCACUUAGGCCCGAAAAGCCUAAUUGGAUCCCACUAAGGGUCGGGAAAAUUCCCGAAGCACUUCCAAUAAUUAGUAGACCACGUCUACUUGCUAAUUACACAAUCAAUUUAUCUAAAUCGCAUCACAAUUGACUAAUAAUUGCUAAUUUACUCUAAUCUAACAACCUAAACAUAAUUAAUUAAAUCUAAACCAACCUUAAGCAUAAUUAGCCAACUAAUCCAAGAUUAGUGAGAUUACUCACCAAAUCGCGCGCAAAUCGGAUCAAUCCGACGGCGGCGACGCGAGGAACGAUUGUUCCCAAAGCACGGCUCGGUUUCGGGGCCGGGAAACGGUCCAAAAGCGGGCCCAAAGGUGCUGAAACCCACUCCGUGGGUCUUGCUGGUCGCGGCUGAACGGAGCAGCUCCGGCGGCUAGGGCGGCGGGGGAAGGCCGGCGGAGGGCGAGGGGGUCGCGGGGGUGGUUCGGCGGGGUUGGCGGUGGCCGGAGGUGGCCGGGGGUGGCUGGACGGAGCUGGAGCAGAAGCGAACAGCAGCUGGGUCGCGCGGCCUGGCCGUGCGCGGACGGCAGGACGGCGACGGGCGCGCGGGCGCG
rnacentral:lncRNA from 1 species